rnacentral:rRNA from 1 species
UACGUAGGGUGCGAGCGUUGUCCGGAAUUACUGGGCGUAAAGAGCUCGUAGGUGGUUUGUCGCGUUGUUCGUGAAAACUCACAGCUUAACUGUGGGCGUGCGGGCGAUACGGGCAGACUUGAGUUCGGUAGGGGAGACUGGAAUUCCUGGUGUAGCGGUGAAAUGCGCAGAUAUCAGGAGGAACACCGAUAGCGAAGGCAGUCCCCUGGGCCUGUACUGACGCUCAUGCACGAAAGCGUGGGGAGCAAACAG